UACGUAGGGUGCGAGCGUUGUCCGGAAUUACUGGGCGUAAAGAGCUCGUAGGUGGUUUGUCGCGUUGUCCGUGAAAACUCACAACUCAAUUGUGGGCGUGCGGGCGAUACGGGCAGACUGGAGUACUGCAGGGGAGACUGGAAUUCCUGGUGUAGCGGUGGAAUGCGCAGAUAUCAGGAAGAACACCCGUGGCGAAGGCGGUUCUCUGGGACGGUACUGACGCUGAGACGCGAAAGCGUGGGGAGCGAACAGG
rnacentral:rRNA from 1 species